ensembl:lncRNA LINC01994 long intergenic non-protein coding RNA 1994
AGGAGAAGCUUAAGGACUGGAGUCGGGUAGAUAUGUAUAUGCUGGUGCUAUGGAGUAAAUACAUCCAGGGUGUGUUUACUUUUCACCAGCCAAAUACUCACUACCUGAACACCAUCUCCCUGAGUACCUCGCUUCUUAAAUGACUCCGCUUACUGCAUAACAUAUGGAAAUUGAAAGCAGCACUCCUCUGGGUAUCAGGACCUCUGAAUCCUAUAAAACCUAAAGGUGCAGGGACAAGAAGCACACAUUCUAAAGAAGCUAGAUUCUCAUAUCUGCCCCUGUAUUCAAUCUCCUGUGGCAUUAUAUACCAUGCAGCCUCUGGAAAACUUCACUGUGCCUUCAUGCCAGAAUGAGAAUAAAAAGAUGAGGAAGCUGAAGCAGAAAGAAGCCAAGCAACUUAAUGACACUCUUCAGGGUGUUUGUCCCCACUGCUGGUUUUCUAGACCACUCCCUGCCUACAGUUCCUCUCUGUUCUCAUCUCACGCCAUCCUGCAAAAAGAUGGCCAUGUGCCGGACAGCUCUGUAUGCCGCCCCACUGCUGUGCUUUACAGGAUCUGUCUGUGCAUGCAGGUAGGCUUAUUUAUCAGAAAGAACCCAAUCUCACAUGCCAUAGAGUAUGAGAAGGCAACAUUUGGAGGAUGUUGGAAAACAUACUUUUAGAGUUCAGUGCAUUGUCACCUUUUGGAUCCUCAGAUCAACCUCAGAUGGGUGCACAAGAAUCUCUCUUCUCUUGGCCUCCCUGCUGUCUGCUUUCCUUUUAUCGUCCACCCCUCCCAUCGCUUCCCAGUAUCCUGGUUGCAGGGAUCCUGCCCCUGCUCUUGUGUCAGUCUAAGCCAGUGAGAACUGUUCACGCUAGAGAAUUUAUUCAUGGUGGAGAACAGAAGUGAGCUAUUAAGUUUUUCAGAAUGGAGCACCCACCAGAAAAGCAAACCUCUUGCUUGCUAAUUUUAAACCAUUUUCCUAAAAGCACGAGCCUAAUGUGUUUCAAAGUAAAAUUUACUUUAAAAUUAACAAAGUUCAGAAGAUUAUUUUAAUAUUUGAAAUAAUUCUUGCCUGCUAUAGUUUAUCUGUCAUCUGUAUUUCCAAGAAACUUUACUUUUAAACUCUUUUAAAAAUAUGCCGUUAUUGCUCCUUUUUAUGACUGAGAGUAUAUGGAAAGAUUGGCGAUACAUCUGCAAAACCUUUCCUGUGCCUGUAAUAAAACAUAUGGUUUAGACCUCUGUUCUCUCCCUCCUCCACCUCUAGUUUUAGUCACCUAGAAAUAGCUUCUCUAUUUGUCCAAAUUACCAAGUAUUUACCUUCUCUGUUCUCCUCUAGAGCCUGAUUUAGUUACAAUAUAUUUAUAUCAGUUUUUUUUUUCUGAGGAUAUUAACCUUAGACUUUAGGAAGUAUGCUUCUAAUCUCCCCUGCUUAUACACACAUGCUUUAGGAGGGCAAGAAAAGUGUUUUAUUCAGAUUUAUAACACUUGUGCCUAGAGGGGCCUGGCAUGUAGUAAUAUACUCAAUAAAAACAUGUUGAGUUGACUCUAAUAGAAAUAAUUCUUAAAAUUCCUUUCUUCUUUUCUUCCUUCCUUCUUUCCUUCCUUUCAUCAUGCAAUAAACAUUUAUUGAAUUUCUCUUAUGAGCCAGACGCCAUGUUAAGUAAGUCCCAAGUUUGUAGAUAUUAUCAACUCUGACCUCAAGAAGCCUAGAACGGGCAAAGCCGUACAGUUGGAAAGGUAGGUAGUGUUCCCACCUUUUGGGUUUUCAAGACAAUUUGGGGAGGUUUUAUUAAGGUUGUAUCCUGAGCACACAUUUCUCUUGUUGCC